GACGAACCGUGCGAACGUUGUUCGGAAUCACUGGGUUUAAAGGGCGCGUAGGCGGGCUGUCAAGUCGGGGGUGAAAUCCUGGAGCUCAACUCCAGAACUGCCUCGAUACUGGAGAGCUUGAGUCCGGGAGAGGUGAGUGGAACUGCGGAGUGUAGAGGUGAAAUUCGUAGAUAUUCGCAAGAACACCAGUGGCGAAGGCGGCUGACUGGUCCGGUUCUGACGCUGAGGCGCGAAAGCGUGGGGAGCAACAGG
rnacentral:rRNA from 1 species